UACUUUAUACAUAACAUAUAUGUUGCCAUACCUUGCAUAACUGAAUAACCCUUAUGGCACAGUAACAAUUCAAUACAUUUAUGGUCACUACAGUAUUUGGAUUUAAUAAUCUUCAUGUGGGAAAAGGCUGACUCGCAUAAAUAAGUAGAGCCGAAUAAUGCAGUCAAGGAGGUAGCACAUUUCCUCAUGUGAAAAAUGACGGCUGUCCGAUUAACUGCGAUUUUAGUUCCCUCUUCUUUCUCUUUCUUAGAUCGCUUUUCGGAAGGAAGUCAGUUUUGUAGUUUUUAUGAACAGUUCGAAAGUGCCUUUCCACAUUUUCCUUCUUUGGAAUAGCAAUGAUAGAUUGACAGAUCAGACAAACGCACUUCGAUUGUGACAUUGUGAGAAAAAAAAAUCCUCUUCCAAUUCCACAUCCAGCCCAUACCC